rnacentral:rRNA from 1 species
GAUGAACGCUGGCGGCGUGCCUAAUACAUGCAAGUCGAGCGAACAGAUGAGGAGCUUGCUCCUCUGACGUUAGCGGCGGACGGGUGAGUAACACGUGGAUAACCUACCUAUAAGACUGGGAUAACUUCGGGAAACCGGAGCUAAUACCGGAUAAUAUAUUGAACCGCAUGGUUCAAUAGUGAAAGACGGUUUUGCUGUCACUUAUAGAUGGAUCCGCGCCGCAUUAGCUAGUUGGUAAGGUAACGGCUUACCAAGGCAACGAUGCGUAGCCGACCUGAGAGGGUGAUCGGCCACACUGGAACUGAGACACGGUCCAGACUCCUAAGGGAGGCAGCAGUAGGGAAUCUGCCGCAAUGGGCGAAAGCAUGACGGAGCAACGCCGCGUGAGUGAUGAAGGUCUUCGGAUCGUAAAACUCUGUUAUUAGGGAAGAACAAAUGUGUAAGUAACUAUGCACGUCUUGACGGUACCUAAUCAGAAAGCCACGGCUAACUACGUG